CUCACUUCGGUGAGAGCGGCGAACGGGUGAGUAACACGUAGGUUACCUGCCCCCGGGUGAGGGAUAACCAAGGGAAACUUUGGCUAAUACCGCAUAUGGUCUACGGAUCAAAGCCUUCGGGCGCCUGGGGAUGGGCCUGCGUCCCAUUAUUUAAUCCUAGUUGGUGGGGUAACGGCCUACCAAGGGUACGAUGGGUAGCUGGUCUGAGAGGAUGAUCAGCCACACUGGGACUGAGACACGGCCCAGACUCCUACGGGAGGCAGCAGUGGGGAAUAUUGCGCAAUGGGCGAAAGCCUGACGCAGCCACGCCGCGUGAGUGAUGAAGGCCCUCGGGUCGUAAAGCUCUGUCGGGAGGGAAGAAAUUUGACGGUACCUCCCAAGAAAGCACCGGCUAACUCCGUGCCAGCAGCCGCGGUAAUACGGAGGGUGCAAGCGUUGCUCGGAAUCACUGGGCGUAAAGCGUACGCAGGCGGCUUGUUAAGUCAGAUGUGAAAGCCCAGGGCUCAACCCUGGAACUGCAUUUGAAACUGGCAGGCUUGAAUACGAGAGAGGUAAGCGGAAUUCCUGGUGUAGAGGUGAAAUUCGUAGAUAUCAGGAGGAACACCUGUGGCGAAAGCGGCUUACUGGCUCGAUAUUGACGCUCAUGUACGAAAGCGUGGGGAGCAAACAGGAUUAGAUACCCU
rnacentral:rRNA from 1 species